UCUGCAAUGUCCCUCCAGAUAUUGGGUUUGGAUAUAUUUGUUUUCCGCUAGGUAUGUAGGAAAGUUGCUUAAAGGACAGACAAUUGAGGUCAUUGGUGGUGGUCGUAUUGGAUCUACUUAUGCCAGAAUGAUGGAAUCUGUGAAGACCAAGCACCCUUAGCUUCAUUAUGAGUCAAAGUUAUACAUGCUUCUACAAGGAGGGACGAGUAUCACCCAUCUGAAAUGGUUUGGUGUUGAGGGCGAGUACAAUGUUAUGGUUAUUGACCUUUUAGGGCCAAUCGAAAGUUUGCAAUCCUAGAAGACUUGUUCAACUAUUGCAAUCGAAAGUUUUCUUUAAAAAUAGUUUUGAUGCUUGCAGAUCAGUUAGUAAGUAUUCAAUGUUUUCAAUGAAAGAUAAAUAGAGUUCAGUUUAGGGCGCAAAGCUAAUCAGGUGACGCCCGAGUUACAAAAUGUUGGAAAUGGAGGCUACGUUAUAUGAAACCAAUGCGAGUGAUCGAUGGAAAAUAGAAUAUUUUUAUAUGAAGGUUCCUCUACACAUUACGAUUUUCUGCAUUAGUUAUUUGAUUUUUGCAUUUUAUAUUUGCU